rnacentral:rRNA from 1 species
UGCGUAGGGGGCAAGCGUUGUCCGGAUUUAUUGGGCGUAAAGAGCGUGUAGGCGGCCAUGUAGGUCCGUUGUGAAAACUCGAGGCUCAACCUCGAGACGCCGAUGGAAACCAUGUGGCUAGAGUCCGGAAGAGGAGAGUGGAAUUCCUGGUGUAGCGGUGAAAUGCGCAGAUAUCAGGAAGAACACCCGUGGCUAAGGCGGCUCUCUAGUACGGUACUGACGCUGAGACGCGAAAGCGUGGGGAGCGAACAGG